UAGGGAAUCUUCCACAAUGGACGCAAGUCUGAUGGAGCAACGCCGCGUGAGUGAAGAAGGUUUUCGGACCGUAAAGCUCUGUUGUUGGUGAAGAAGGAUAGAGGUAGUAACUGGCCUUUAUUUGACGGUAAUCAACCAGAAAGUCACGGCUAACUACGUGCCAGCAGCCGCGGUAAUACGUAGGUGGCAAGCGUUGUCCGGAUUUAUUGGGCGUAAAGCGAGCGCAGGCGGAAGAAUAAGUCUGAUGUGAAAGCCCUCGGCUUAACCGAGGAAUUGCAUCGGAAACUGUUUUCUUGAGUGCAGAAGAGGAGAG
rnacentral:rRNA from 1 species